rnacentral:rRNA from 1 species
AUGAAUCGCGCCCCUGCCACAACAUUUGCACAUUUGGAUGCUACUACCGUACUUUCCAGAGGAUUAGCUUCCAAGGGUAUUUAACCAGCAGUAGAUCCUUUAGAUUCAACCUCGACUAUGUUACACCCUCGGAUCGUUGGCAACGAACAUUACGAAAGAAAUAGCUCGCUAGAUUAA